CCAUCGGUGGUUCAGUGGUAGAAUGCUCGCCUGCCACGCGGGAUUCAAUCCCGGUUCAUGACUGUCGGGAAUCGAGGGG